GAAUGAAGACUAUGGCUGAUUUGAGCAGACUCUGGUGGUGAAGAUCUUGGUUAUUACUUUUGAGGAAUGGAUGUGCAAUGAUUCAAUUACUCCCUAGUGAGGAAGAUCUUGAUUGCUGUCUUUUUGAGUAAUGAGUGCAGAAACCUAUGUGCCCAUCUCAUCUCAAUCUGAUUGACGCCAUGACCAUGGACUCUUUGGUGUGUUAGCAUGAUAGCUCUUGUGAGUCAUAGUCAAAAUUCUUGUUUUGUUUAAUGAUGUUCUCUGUAUU